AACGUAUGCUGGCGGCACGCUUAACACAUGCAAGUCGAACGAAGUAGCAAUACUUAGUGGCAGACGGGUGAGUAACAUGUGGGUAUCUGCCCUUUGGCCUGGAAUAACACGAGGAAACUUGUGCUAAUACCGGAUAAGUCUUUACAGAGAAAGCUUUAUGCACCAUUGGAUGAGCCCGCACUUGAUUAGUUUGUUGGUGGGGUAAUGGCCUACCAAGACUGUGAUCAAUAGCUGAUUUGAGAGGAUGAUCAGCCACAUUGGGACUGAGACACGGCCCAAACUCCUACGGGAGGCAGCAGUGGGGAAUCUUGCACAAUGGAGGAAACUCUGAUGCAGCGAUGCCGCGUGAGUGAAGAAGGCCCUUGGGUUGUAAAGCUCUUUCGUCGGGGAAGAAAAUGACUGUACCCGAAUAAGAAGGUCCGGCUAACUUCGUGCCAGCAGCCGCGGUAAUACGAAGGGACCUAGCGUAGUUCGGAAUUACUGGGCUUAAAGAGUUCGUAGGUGGUUGAAAAAGUUAGUGGUGAAAUCCCAGAGCUUAACUCUGGAACUGCCAUUAAAACUUUUCAGCUAGAGUAUGAUAGAGGAAAGCAGAAUUUCUAGUGUAGAGGUGAAAUUCGUAGAUAUUAGAAAGAAUACCAAUUGCGAAGGCAGCUUUCUGGAUCAUUACUGACACUGAGGAACGAAAGCAUGGGUAGCGAAGAGGAUUAGAUACCCUCGUAGUCCAUGCCGUAAACGAUGUGUGUUAGACGUUGGAAAUUUAUUUUCAGUGUCGCAGCGAAAGCGAUAAACACACCGCCUGGGGAGUACGACCGCAAGGUUAAAACUCAAAUGAAUUGACGGGGACCCGCACAAGUAGUGGAGCAUGUGGUUUAAUUCGAAGAUACGCGCAGAACCUUACCAACACUUGACAUGUUCGUCGCGACUCUAAGAGAUUAGAGUUUUCGGUUCGGCCGGACGAAACACAGGUGCUGCAUGGCUGUCGUCAGCUCGUGUCGUGAGAUGUUGGGUUAAGUCCCGCAACGAGCGCAACCCUCACUUUUAGUUGCCAUCAUUAAGUUGGGCACUCUGAAAGAACUGCCAGUGAUAAGCUGGAGGAAGGUGGGGAUGACGUCAAGUCCUCAUGGCCCUUACGUGUUGGGCUACACACGUGCUACAAUGGUAUCUACAACAGGAAGCAAGACUGCGAGGUCAAGCAAAUCCUUAAAAGAUACCUCAGUUCGGAUUGCACUCUGCAACUCGAGUGCAUGAAGCUGGAAUUACUAGUAAUCGUGGAUCAGCGUGCCACGGUGAAUGCGUUCCCGGGUCU
rnacentral:rRNA from 1 species